UGCCAGGAAGGGCAUAGCAAGCGACGAAGUGCUUCGGGGAGUUGAAAAUAAGCAUAGAUCCGGAGAUUUCCAAAUAGGUCAACCUUUUAAACUGCCUGCUGAAUCCAUGAGCAGGCAAGAGACAACCUGGCGAACUAAAACAUCUUAGUAGCUAGAGGAAAAGAAAGCAAAAGCGAUUCCCGUAGUAGCGACAAGCGAAAUGGGAGACCCGGACGCUUUUGGGAUGCUUCUAAUAA
rfam:Triticum aestivum genome assembly, contig: Triticum_aestivum_CS42_TGACv1_scaffold_306847_4AS